UUGACCUACGGGACGCAGCAGUGGGGAAUAUUGCACAAUGGGGGAAACCCUGAUGCAGCAACGCCGCGUGAAGGAAGACGGUUUUCGGAUUGUAAACUUCUGUUCUUAGUGAAGAAGAAUGACGGUAGCUAAGGAGCAAGCCACGGCUAACUACGUGCCAGCAGCCGCGGUAAUACGUAGGUGGCAAGCGUUGUCCGGAAUUACUGGGUGUAAAGGGAGCGCAGGCGGGAAGGCAAGUCAGCUGUGAAAACUCCGGGCUUAACUUGUAGACGGCAGUUGAGACUGGUUU
rnacentral:rRNA from 1 species